rnacentral:lncRNA from 1 species
CACAGGAUUAAUCAGGGCCCUUCCCAAUUAGAUAUGGUGCUGCAGCCUUCUUCGCAAGCUCGCUGCCGAUCAUCCUUUGCAAGAAUGGAUUGCACCAAUGCUUGUAUACCUUCAAGACCUCUACUAUGACCGCUCUAAAAUUUUUUUCUCAAAAGAUCUCACCACACACAAAUCAGAUUAUAAGUUCAACAUAUGAACAA